AGCUCCAAUAGCGUAUAUUAAAGUUGCUGCAGUUAAAAAGCUCGUAGUUGCAUUUCCGAGGCAAGGGAUUAGUCCGACCUUUGGUGGGUAUUUAAUCCUCUUGCCUCGUCCUUGAGUGGUGCUUCUUGGUAUUAAGUUAUCGAGGAGAUAGCCGCUCAUCGUUUACUGUGAGAAAAUUAGAGUGUUCAAAGCAGGCUUAUGCCGUUGAAUAUAUUAGCAUGGAAUAAUAAGAUAGGACCUCGGUACUAUUGUGUUGGUUUGAGAACCAAGGUAAUGAUGAAUAGGGACAGUUGGGGGUAUUCGUAUUCAGUUGUCAGAGGUGAAAUUCUUAGAUUUACGGAAGACGAACUACUGCGAAAGCAUUUACCAAGGAUUUUUUCA
rnacentral:rRNA from 1 species